CCGUUCUCAACGGGGUGCAUGUGAAUGCUGAGAGAUACCCGUCGAACCUGAUCCGGUUAAUACCGGCGUAGGGAUUUGAGAGUCAGCCCCCU
rnacentral:ncRNA from 2 species